AUGCCCUUUGUAUGGUGGUGGUAGUGGAAACGCCCACACGGUUACUACAAUGACCGAGGACACCUAAACAAAGGGCUUUU
ncrna:unclassified sequences c4-2 RNA